CGUAAGAUGGAAAAGUCUGGUGGUAGGCUAGGGUGCUGGGGCCUGGCGGACUAGGGCUGCCUUCUCCUCCAGGGGGCAGAGCGUUGCUUCCCGGCUGCGUCGUGCCAUCUACGCCCGAGUUUUGUUUCUUCCAUUUGGUCCUUCGGUUCUGGAACCAGAUUUUGACCUGCGUCUCGGUCAGGCUGAGCGAUAGGGCCAGGUUGAGGCGCUCACACACCGACAGGUACCGCGUGGCUCUGAACUUGUUCUCCAAAGCCACCAGCUGCUCUGUCUUUGCAUCACCCACCCCACCUCUUCUGAUGCCGUCUUUGCAGAGAGCUUGAUUUCAGUGCUUGGCAUUCUUGAGCCCAGAGUUUCAGAUUUGUGAAGGGGCGGAUCGAUAGAUGUCAUCUAUUAAAGCGCGUCCCUGUGCCAAUCAGGCCCAUCCGAUAAGGCUGAGCCGAAAAGAAUUGCGUCUGGCUAGCGCUUUCCUACUAGACCAGGGGGCACUGCGAGCUCAGCCGUGACUCCACCAGGGGGACAGCGCCACGCUCCAUGACCCGCUCGCCGCGUCCCCUCCACAACUUCUUAAAGGGAAACGCAGCCGGGCUGUGACCUUCCACGGACCGAAGAGAAGGCCUUCGGAGGGUGGGGAGACACGAGAUUAUUUACAAAGCUGCUAGACAAGAGAGUAAACGACAAACCAUUUCGGGCAACUAAAUCUGAAGUGCAGCUUCUGCGUGUAUGUGAAUGAAAGACUUCCUCUGUUAGUAGCACAUGCUGCCCUGAUUCAGGCGUUUAGCUCCCAAGCGGAGCCGGUUUUGCAUGCAAGGAUUCUUACACUCCCUGAAAAAUAAAGCAAAAUGUGGCUUUCUUCAUCAGUCAUCAUUUUAA